rnacentral:tRNA from 1 species
GCCUGGGUGGCUCAGCCGGUUGAGCGUCCGACUUCAGCUCGGGUCAUGAUCUCACAGUUUGUGGGUUCAAGCCCCACAUCGGGCU